rnacentral:rRNA from 1 species
AUACGGAGGGUGCAAGCGUUAUCCGGAUUCACUGGGUUUAAAGGGAGCGUAGGUGGGUUAGUAAGUCCGUGGUGAAAUCUCUGAGCUUAACUCGGAAACUGCCAUGGAUACUAUUAGUCUUGAAUAUUGUGGAGGUUAGCGGAAUAUGUCAUGUAGCGGUGAAAUGCUUAGAUAUGACAUAGAACACCAAUUGCGAAGGCAGCUGGCUACACAUAUAUUGACACUGAGGCUCGAAAGCGUGGGGAUCAAACAGGAUUAGAUACCCUGGUAGUCCACGCCCUAAACUAUGGAUACUCGACAUACGCGAUAAACUGUGUGUGUCUGAGCGAAAGCAUUAAGUAUCCCACCUGGGAAGUACGAUCGCAAGAUUGAA